CGGAGGAUCCAAGCGUUAUCCGGAAUCAUUGGGUUUAAAGGGUCCGUAGGCGGUUUGUUAAGUCAGUGGUGAAAUCUGGUCGCUCAACGAUCAAACGGCCAUUGAUACUGACAGACUUGAAUUAUUGGGAAGUAACUAGAAUAUGUAGUGUAGCGGUGAAAUGCUUAGAUAUUACAUGGAAUACCAAUUGCGAAGGCAGGUUACUAUCAAUAUAUUGACGCUGAUGGACGAAAGCGCGGGGAGCGAACAGGAUUAGAUACCCUGGUAGUCCACGCCGUAAACGAUGGAUACUAGCUGUUGGGAGCAAUUUCAGUGGCUAAGCGAAAGUGAUAAGUAUCCCACCUGGGGAGUACGUUCGCAAGAAUG
rnacentral:rRNA from 1 species